rnacentral:misc_RNA from 1 species
GAACGCACAUUGCGCCCCUUGGUAUUCCGGGGGGCAUGCCUGUUCGAGCGUCAUUAUAACCCCUCAAGCUUAGCUUGGUGUUGGGGCCUGCCAACUGGCAGCCCUUAAAAUCAGUGGCGGCGCCAUCUGGCUCUAAGCGUAGUAAUUUCUCUCGCUAUAGGGUCCCGGUGGAUGCUGGCCAACAACCCCCAAUUUUCUAUGGUUGACCUCGGAUCAGGUAGGGAUACCCGCUGAACUUAAG